UACGUAGGCAGCGAGCGUUGUUCGGAGUUACUGGGCGUAAAGGGUGUGUAGGCGGUUCUUUAAGUUUGGUGGGAAAUCUCCCGGCUCAACCGGGAGGGUGCGCCGAAAACUGAGGGACUAGAGUACGGGAGAGGAAAGUGGAAUUCCUGGUGUAGCGGUGAAAUGCGUAGAUAUCAGGAGGAACACCGGUGGUGUAGACGGCUUUCUGGACCGUAACUGACGCUGAGACACGAAAGCGUGGGUAGCAAACAGG
rnacentral:rRNA from 1 species